rnacentral:rRNA from 1 species
GACGAACCGUGCAAACGUUAUUCGGAAUCACUGGGCUUAAAGGGCGCGUAGGCGGGCUGGCCAGUCUGUGGUGAAAUCCCCCGGCUUAACCGGGGAACUGCCGUGGAUACUGCCAGUCUCGAGGAGGGUAGGGGCAUCUGGAACAGCCGGUGGAGCGGUGAAAUGCGUUGAUAUCGGGAGGAACACCAAUGGCGAAGGCAGCUCGCUGGGGACGUUACUGACGCUGAGACGCGAAAGCGUGGGGAGCAAACAGGG